rnacentral:rRNA from 1 species
UACGGAGGAUCCAAGCGUUAUCCGGAAUCAUUGGGUUUAAAGGGUCCGUAGGCGGUCUAAUAAGUCAGUGGUGAAAGCCCAUCGCUCAACGAUGGAACGGCCAUUGAUACUGUUAGACUUGAAUUAUUGGGAAGUAACUAGAAUAUGUAGUGUAGCGGUGAAAUACUUAGAUAUUACAUGGAAUACCAAUUGCGAAGGCAGGUUACUAUCAAUAUAUUGACGCUGAUGGACGAAAGCGUGGGGAGCGAACAGG